ensembl:lincRNA 4933433G15Rik RIKEN cDNA 4933433G15 gene
ACCCCGGCCUCAGCUGAACCACCGCCCAGAGUGUCGUACCAAGUGACCCGACAGGGCGAGCGUCUGAACGGCUGCUGGGUCCUGUGCUGUCGGGAGGAAGUGGGCGAAGGCGAAUAUGCUAGGCCAGAUUGUUGAGCAGAUAAGCUCAGGGUGGUGUUGGGAAGGCCCCUGGGAUCGGUCCCCGGGGUCCGUUGGCUGCUUCCAGAAGCAUCCGCGGUAACCAGGGAGGUGAAUGAGUGAGGGGUCCUGGGAAAACUGAGCAAAAGCUCAGUCAGCAGGGUGGCUGGCUUGUUGAGAUCGCUGAGACCAGCCAGAGUUUGACAUAGGCGUGCUGAGAAAGGUAGAUAGCUGCCCUUCCAGUGCUUAGAUGAAAUUUAAGUAUUUAGGAACUUAGAUAUAAAAAGCACAGGGUUUGCCUGGGAGUAGUGGCACAUGAGUUAACUAGUCUAUGUAGUGCCAGGACAGCCUAUGCUAUAUAAUAGACCCUGUCUCAAAAGGCUGGGAGAGCUUGUUGUUGUACCCCUGUGAUCCCUGUCUUGGAGACCAGAAGGAUUAGAAGAUACAGUUAAUCCUUGGCUGCAUAUGGAUGAGAAUUUCUUGAAGUCGGUCAUGCGUAUAAACCAAGUGUGGUAGUGAACGCUUGUCAUCCCAGCAUUCUGCAGGCUGAGACAGGAGAAUCUUGAGGGCUUCAGAAAUUCACCAGCAUUGCUAAGAAACCGUCUCCCCAGCCCCCAGCCUGGCAUCUCCCCACCUCUGAAGAAGCUUUGUGCAGUUUCCCUUUUCUUCAGCUUAGAUACAUGGGUUUGGAGUUUACUACCCUGCCGGAGAGCUUCAGGACAUUUUCAGCCCAGUGACUGUGCUACAUGAGCUCAUCUGCCUUCUCAGAGUCUCGCGCUCUCCUGCAGCCGGGAUUCAUGAGAGCUCUACUCUGACAGCCCCAAGGAGCUGCUGCUACCCAUCUGGUGUCCUGAUGCCACCAGCAUCAUCCACGAAAUCUGUGGAUUGGCCCACUGCUGCCACUGAUUGCCUUCAGGCAAGUGGUCUCACCCCAUCUUAGGACAGCUCUCUCCUGCAGAGCCGUUCUGAGGUUUUUCAGGAGCUACUGUGUGGAAAGCACCUGGCAACAUAGAAGGCAUCUGGGGCGUUCAGGUCUCCAGCCAGACCUUCUUCCCACCAUGGCUUCCUGAAGUUGGCCAGGUCUCCUUCCACUCCCUGUAGUCAUUCAACAGUUACUCUUUAAUUACCUACUUUAUCUAAGGUAGAGCAUUUUCCCGGAGCUGGGAGCCAGCAUCUGUAACAUACACGUGGCCUGAGUUUGAUGCUCAGCCAUGGGAGAGGGCAGGUAAAAAAACAUUCUCCAAACUUUCUGGGUAAUGUAGUUGGGAAGUGGUUGUUUUCGGUGUUUAAUGCAUCAGUUGACUUUU